AUGGUGUCGCUGCUAUGUCAGAUAUGCCACGCUCUGACCUACUUUUACCCGUCUGCUUUCAAAGCCUUCAAGCUGUAUUGUUUUUCUUUCUGUACCAGUUUUUUCUUUCCAUUAACUUUUUUGCUUAUUUCUUCAUAGUUCUUUAACAGAUGCAAUAAUCAAUAACACCAAUUCUGGGAAAACAUAAGAGUUUAAUCGUGGGAUAACAACUUGAUUUGGCAUAAUUGUUGAAGAAGUGAAUGUUGAGUAAAGUGCAAUAUAACAAUGAGUGAUAUGGAGUUCAGACAUCCCGUAUUUUGUUUGGUCGUUCCGUAUUCAAAGAAAAAAAUGCCGUGUUUGAACCGAAAUGGAACGGGAUGCCCCUCCCCUGUUUAUUGAAUUUUGUCUUAUUUCUUCAGACUGGAAGUGGCAACCCUGGGUGCAUUUGACACAGGGGCACAGUGUGAAUUGCUUAAGCUCCACAAAUGUGGUGUAACGUUGUUUGUGUGUGUUGGAGUGACAGCCUUCAGAGCCAGAGGCAUAGAAGAACGGAUCAAAGUGCUUCAUGCUUAAGAUGCCUUGUGGAACAUGCCUUCGCACCUCUACAUGCUUCAGAUAGCAGCCCUGACAUGACAGUCCUACCACCUGCUGCUUGACAGUUUGUGUUCAGUGAACCACCUGCCGGGGUCUUAAACAAAACAUGAAUAUGGCAGAAGUUAUAGUUUUAUAUAAACUGGAUGAACCCUGGGGGCAGAACGGCAUGUGGGCUUCAAAGCAGAUGUGGACCUUAUUUCUAACGAUAUUAUAAAGUUCUGUGAAGUAACAUAUUUGCUCUGAGGAAGCAGUACAAACAAGAAAUGGCAGAUGAGCACAUUGUACACUCCCUAACAUAACAGCACAUGAUGUACAGUGUAGCUGCCAUUCAGUAACUAGGUGCAAGGGGUUGUUGGGGUGGUGGGAGCUUAUCUGGGGUGUAGCUCUUCAAGCAGGGUGCCCUUAACGCCUUGUGUCAGAACUGGCCAGAAUGUAGCAGGUGUCUCCUCCUCUGUAUAUGUACUUUCCAGAAUGUCUUGCCGUGGAUUUUUUUCAGCCAAUAAGCAUCUGAACCUAGUAAAAUUUGGAACGCCAUAUUACUCAAAA